rnacentral:rRNA from 1 species
GUGACUCUGUUCAACGGCCGCGGUAUCCUAACCGUGCGAAGGUAGCGUAAUCACUUGUUCUUUAAAUGAGGACUAGUAUGAACGGCACUACGAGGGUUACACUGUCUCCUUUUCCAAAUCAGUGAAACUAAUCUCCCCGUGAAGAAGCGGGAAUAAACCUAUAAGACGAGAAGACCCUAUGGAGCUUCAAACUUCCCAGCAAUUAUUUUUUACUAAUUCAAUCUCAAGAUAAUAAAAUGAACCCUUAUAAUAUGACUGCAAGUUUUCGGUUGGGGUGACCACGGAGUAAAAUCCACCCUCCACAAUGAAUUAUAAACCUUAGCUUUAAACAAAGAAACACAAUUCUAUGUAUCAAAAAAUUGACAUUAUUGACCCA